UUCAUAUGUUUUUGUUUUGUUUACAAAUUAUGUUUUUCAUUUCCUAACGCUUUUUAAUCUUCUUUCUCCGUCAGAUGUUCAUCGCAACAACUCAAAUUUGCUUACGAUAUGCGAUUAUUUUCUCAUCACAAGUUCAUUGUUUUUCUCCGUAUAUUUUUUUCAUAGUUUAAGUGAAAUUUUCUCUGUUCCUGAAACCUAAAUCUCCAAUCAGAGUGAAGACCAUUUUCGUCGAGAUUCGAAACCUAAAAAUCUAUUACUAUUGGCACCGCGUUGGAGUUCACCGACGAAGGCAGAGGGAGCGACAAGGGAAGCGUGGAGAUGUCGAGGUCAAAUGCAUCGAAGAGGAGCAAGUCGUCGAAGUUCACGACAAGGCAAAACAACUUGUCUAAGUGGGAGCGGUUGUGGCAGGACCUACUCUACGGCAUCUAGUCAAGGUCUACCAUCACCGACGACUCUCUGAUGAACUUCAGGUCCAUCGAAGUAACAAUAAGAAUCCAAUUUCUUUUUUUCCCUUCUUUACGAGCUCAUACAUUUUCAUCUGAAAUCUGGAUGCAUAGGAAUGCUUUUUCAUCGGUUUUGUUUGUUUAACUUGAUGAUUAUGUAUGUAUAUAGUACUUCUUGAUUAGUGUUUGAUUAUAAAAUUGUGUAAGAAGAUGGUUUUGAGCCUUGACAAAGGAAGGAAGACAACAAAGAACUAAGAGAUUGAUUAGAAAGCUUGUAAAGUUCCAUUAUCUUAAUCAAUUAUAUUCAGAUGAGAAUUUUAAUAUCAUUAUCUUAAUCCAUUUUACAGUCUUAAUGUAUUAUUUUCUAUAGAGAAUGUAAUAUUCAAUUAGAGUAAAUAUGGCUUUGCUUAAAUUUAAUAGUUGUUUAAUUAUAAUGUUAUAUAGUCUAUUAUACAUUACCAUUCCAUCAUAGAUCAUCAUUGAAUUAAUAUCUAACACAAAUAUUGUAAAAGUGAACAAAGUUGGUGCAUAUUGUGGUUUGUGAUUAGAUCGAUGACACUGUAUAGCUUAUUUUUUUCUUAAUGUUCAUCAUGCAGUAUAGUUUUAUGAUGGUUAACAUUAGUUCUUCUGCUAAAUGCAUGCCUGCUAUAUUUGAGUUUGGUGAAUAACUAUAAUGACUUUGGAGGAAAGAAACAAUAUUUGAGUAGGCACAAAGUGACUAAUUUAUUUGAAUCAUGUAGAUGCCUUGAUGAGUUGAGGUUGUACUAAAGAAUUAAUAUACUUAAGUUGAAAUUUCAUAGGCUUUAGAUUGUUACCAUCCCACAAGAGUUCUUUCUCCAAGUCUUUUAUCUAUAGGUCUCAUUCCUAUUAUUAGUUGUAGUAGAACCGCCCCAAAGGAAUACACAUAUGUUUUAACUGACACUUUGCCAAAUUCUGCAUAUUUUGGUGUCAUCUCGACCCACUAUAGUUUUAAGAUAUUGGAACCAACCACCUGGGGUUAAAAAGAGAUUGAGCAUUUUAUAUAUCUCCUUUAUUUUACUUUUCUUCAUUUGGCAAAGGGAUGAUUAUGCUCUUUCUAUUUUUGUUAAUAUUUGGUAUUAAGUAAGCUUCCGUUGCCAUUGAAUCAAUUUGACAGAUUCCUGUUACAUCUACUCAUAGUUAGGAUAAUUUCUUUCAAUGGUUUGAAGGGAAUCAGUUUUUCACAUCUAGUAAAUUUUGUAUUAGCAUAUUUUAGUAUGAAAUGUUGUUUCAUGCAGGUUAACAAUGCAGGAAUUGGUGGAGUUGUAAUUAAAGACAGUGAUUUAAUCAGUAUAGUAAUCCUGAAUCGUGGGAUGAGCAAGGAACAAAGACAGUGACUCAAACAUACGAGUUAGCUAAAGAAUGCUUGCAAAUAAAUUACUAUGGCACUAAAAUAACUGUAGAAUCACUCAUGCCCCUCCUCCAAUUAUCUGAUUCACCAACAAUUGUGAAUCUAUCGUCCUUUCUUGGGCAGUUAGAGAGUUUCCCUAAGGAAUCGUGGGCAAGAGGAGUGUUGAGUGAUGCUGAUAACCUAACAGAAGAGAAAGUGGAUGAAAUAGUGAAGAUGUUUCUAAGUGAUUUCAAAGAAGGUUCAUUAGAGAGUAAAGGGUGGCCUAGGUAUCUAGGUGCCUAUAUUGUGUCAAAAACAGCUCUUUGCUAAACAACCUGGUGGGACACAUCUGGCAUUCCUCAGUUCUUGUUCCAUAUCAUGGAUGGGUUGGGGGACAUAAGUUAUUGUGGAGGUUGCAACAUCAGGUUAGGAAAUAUGUACUCGGCUUUUCCAGCUGGUGACUGGGCAUGUAUGGAAGGGAACAACUUUUGGUGGCUUCAAGAGUCAAUCACAAGUUCCUUGGCUUGUAGAAAAGUACAUGAAGAAGGUGGUUUGUUGUGUUUCUGCGAUGAGAAGGUUUUCUACAACUAAUGAGGGAUGUGUUGUUGAAGCUAGAAUGAUGACUCAUGGAAAAAAGUUCUUAAUCCUGAACUUGUUAAAGGACAUUGGACAAAGGAGGAGGAUGAUAAAAUAAUUGAACUGGUGUCUAUACAUGGAUCUACAAAAUGGUCUUUGAUAUCCCAGUCUUUGCCUGGUCGAAUAGAAAAACAAUGCAGAGAACAAUGGUGCAAUCAUCUUAGUCCAGACAUAAAGAAGGAUCCCUGGAUUUUAGAGGAGGAAUUAGCUCUUAUUAAAGCUCAUUGUAUACAUGGCAACAAAUGGGCUGAAAUAGCCAAGGUUCUAUGUGGAAGCAAACCGGUGAUGCAAAUGAGCCUGAGUCUUCUAUGGGUACAAGAGGAUCAUCUGGUGGUAGCAACAUUUAGGGUGUUGAUGAUGUUUUUUAGGAUGAAACUAUUUUAGUGUAUUAUGAACUUUGAGUAAGUAUGGAUUAAGUUGUAAUUGUUUUUAUGUUAAUAUGUUGAUUUUGAGAAUCAAAAGUUCUAAUGAUAUAUAUUUGAGCAC